rnacentral:rRNA from 1 species
GACGAACGCUGGCGGCGUGCUUAACACAUGCAAGUCGAACGGAAACGCCCUGCUUUUGUGGGGUGCUCGAGUGGCGAACGGGUGAGUAACCCGUGAGUAACCUGCCCUUGACUUUGGGAUAACUUCAGGAAACUGGGGCUAAUACCGGAUAGGAGCUCCUGCUGCAUGGUGGGGGUUGGAUAGUUUCGGCGGUUGGGGAUGGACUCGCGGCUUAUCAGCUUGUUGGUGGGGUAGUGGCUUACCAAGGCUUUGACGGGUAGCCGGCCUGAGAGGGUGACCGGCCACAUUGGGACUGAGAUACGGCCCAGACUCCUACGGGAGGCAGCAGUGGGGAAUAUUGCACAAUGGGCGGAAGCCUGAUGCAGCAACGCCGGGUGCGGGAUGACGGCCUUCGGGUUGUAAACCGCUUUCGCCUGUGACGAAGCGUGAGUGACGGUAAUGGGUAAAGAAGCACCGGCUAACUACGUG